rnacentral:misc_RNA from 1 species
GAUGAAGAACGCAGCGAAAUGCGAUAAGUAAUGUGAAUUGCAGAAUUCAGUGAAUCAUCGAAUCUUUGAACGCACCUUGCGCCCUUUGGCCAUUCCGAAGGGCAUGCCUGUUUGAGUAUCAUGAACACCUCAACUCUUUAUGGUUUUCCAUGAUGAGCUUGGACUCUGGGGGUUUUGCUGGCUCACAGUCGGCUCCUCUAAAAUGAAUCAGCUUACCAGUGUUUGGUGGGUAUCAUGGGUGUGAUAACUAUCUACGCUUGUGGCUUUUCCACCAGGUAACCUUCAGCAGUGGAGGUUCGCUGGAGCUCAUAGAUGUCUCUCCUCAGUGAGGACAGCCCUUUGAAUGUUUGAUCUCAAAUCAGGUAGGACUACCCGCUGAACUUAAGCAUAUCAAUAAGCGGAGG